CAAGACACUGUUUGCCAGGGAGCUUUAGCAUGAUCUUCCACCUGAUUCUGGAUGGAAGUCACCUGGACAGUAUGCUGGAAGCAUUAGUCUUCUACUUUAUUAUUAUUGACGAUCCUAACGCCGCCCAUUUGCCCAAUGCCGGUUGUAGCCUCCAGAUUUUAGGUGUGGAUUUCUGUGGCCGAGUCCUUGCUUGGGAAGGUCGUGUAAUUCCAUAACCUGUAUCGUACGCUGCUUCUUGGCGUUUUCAGCUUGUUGGUAACUCUCUUGGAGUUUCCUCUUUGUAGCUUCUAGUUUCACCUGAACUGCAACCUCAUCCGAGCACUUGAAGUUAUCUUGCUGGUUCCUCUUUGGGAUUGUAGGUUUAUCCAAUUUGUGCUGGAACUUCUCGUGGUUGUCUUUCUGUUCUGUACUUAGCUUCUGUGGCCUCAAAAGGCCAGAAUUUGUAUUUGAGGAUGGCUUAUUUGGCUUCACAACUUGUUCCUUCAUUUGAGUCUUAUUUUCCUUAGCAAGCACAUUGACCUCUCGAGCGGUUUGUUGGUUACACCUCAUAGGGUUUUGAUUGCCAUUUGAUGUUUUUCUCACAUUAUUGCGGUUCUUGACGAAGUCCCCACUAUUUCGAGGAUUUCCAUCAUCGUCCAUGCCAUCAAAG
rnacentral:misc_RNA from 1 species